CGUAAAGCGCAUGCAGGUGGUUUGUUAAGUCAGAUGUGAAAGCCCGGGGCUCAACCUCGGAAUUGCAUUUGAAACUGGCAACUAGAGUACUGUAGAGGGGGUAGAAUUUCAGGUGUAGCGGUGAAAUGCGUAGAGAUCUGAAGGAAUACCGGUGGCGAAGGCGGCCCCCUGGACAGAUACUGACACUCAGAUGCGAAAGCGUGGGGAGCAAACAGGAUUACAUACCCUCGGUAG
rnacentral:rRNA from 1 species